GUUUAUAUUGUUUUAAGUCUGCUUUUUUUUACCCAUAAUAAAUACUAGUGUUCACUACUAUUCCCUCUGUGGAUUUACAAUCACAUAUUACAUUGAAGAUUCCUCUGGCAUUACAUCAAUCGAUCCCAUCUUCACAUCUCCUAAGUGGGGAUUAUGCCACCCAAGCAAUAAAAUUGUUGGUAUAAACAGAAAGCACUACAUAUUUUCUCUUAUUAUGUUUGCCCCAUAUGCC